CUUACAAAUUGCGAUGGGGGGACGGAGAAGGCUAGGUGGGCCUGGCGACGGUUGUCCAGGUUCAAGUGCGUAGGCUUAAGAGUUAGGUAAAUCCGGCUCUUUUUAAGGCUGAGACACGACGUCGAGCACCUACGGGUGUGAAGCCAUUGAUGCCAUGCUUCCAGGAAAAGCCUCUAAGCUUCAGAUUGUAAGGAAUCGUACCCCA
rnacentral:rRNA from 1 species